rnacentral:rRNA from 1 species
AGUUUGAUCAUGGCUCAGAGCGAACGUUUGCGGCGGGCCUAACACAUGCAAGUCGAACGCACUAGCAAUAGUGAGUGGCGCACGGGUGCGUAACACGUGGGUAAUCAACCCUUCAGCUUGGGAUAACGACUUGAAAGGGUCGCUAAUACCGGAUACGGCGCGGGAGGCUUCGGCUUCUCACGAGAAAGCCUCGCAAGGGGCACUGAAGGACGAGCCUGCGGCCCAUCAGCUAGUUGGUGAGGUAAGAGCUCACCAAGGCGAAGACGGGUAGCUGGUCUGAGAGGAUGAUCAGCCACACUGGAACUGAGACACGGUCCAGACUCCUACGGGAGGCAGCAGUGGGGAAUAUUGCGCAAUGGGCGAAAGCCUGACGCAGCCACGCCGCGUGAGCGAUGAAGGCCUUCGGGUCGUAAAGCUCUGUGGGGAGAGACGAAGAAAGCCGGUGAAGAGCCGGCCUUGACGGUAUCUCCUUAGCAAGCACCGGCUAACUCCGUG